rnacentral:tRNA from 1 species
GCCUGACUAGCUCAGUCGAUAGAGCAUGCAACUCUUGAUCUCAGGGUCGUGAGUUCAAGUCCCAUGUUGGGUG